ACUGUUGGGCUUGAAUUAUUGGAAGUAACUAGAAUAUGUAGUGUAGCGGUGAAAUGCUUAGAGAUUACAUGGAAUACCAAUUGCGAAGGCAGGUUACUACAAAUUGAUUGACGCUGAUGGACGAAAGCGUGGGUAGCGAACAGGAUUAGAUACCCUGGUAGUCCACGCCGUAAACGAUGGAUACUAGCUGUUGGGAGCAAUCUCAGUGGCUAAGCGAAAGUGAUAAGUAUCCCACCUGGGGAGUACGUUCGCAAGAAUGAAACUCAAAGGAAUUGACGGGGGCCCGCACAAGCGGUGGAGCAUGUGGUUUAAUUCGAUGAUACGCGAGGAACCUUACCAAGGCUUAAAUGUAGAUUGACCGGUUUGGAAACAGACUUUUCGCAAGACAAUUUACAAGGUGCUGCAUGGUUGUCGUCAGCUCGUGCCGUGAGGUGUCAGGUUAAGUCCUAUAACGAGCGCAACCCCUGUUGUUAGUUGCCAGCGAGUCAUGUCGGGAACUCUAGCAAGACUGCCAGUGUAAACUGUGAGGAAGGUGGGGAUGACGUCAAAUCAUCACGGCCCUUACGCCUUGGGCUACACACGUGCUACAAUGGCCGGUACAGAGAGCAGCCACUACGCAAGUAGGAGCGAAUCUACAAAACCGGUCUCAGUUCGGAUCGGAGUCUGCAACUCGACUCC
rnacentral:rRNA from 1 species